rnacentral:rRNA from 1 species
AUUGAACGCUGGCGGCAGGCUUAACACAUGCAAGUCGAGCGAGCGGCGGACGGGUGAGUAAUGUCUGGGAAACUGCCUGAUGGAGGGGGAUAACUACUGGAAACGGUAGCUAAUACCGCAUACCAUCAGAUGUGCCCCGAUGGGAUUAGCUAGUAGGUGGGGUAAUGGCUCACCUAGGCGACGAUCCCUAGCUGGUCUGAGAGGAUGACCAGCCACACUGGAACUGAGACACGGUCCAGACUCGUACGGGAGGCAGCAGUGGGGAAUAGUGCACAAUGGGCGAAAGCCGGAUGCAGCCAUGCCGCGUGUGGGAAGAAGGCCUUCGGGUUGUAAAGUACUUGCAGUCGGGAGGCGUUACCGACAGAAGAAGCACCGGCUAACUCCGUGCCAGCCGCCGCGGUAAUAC